rnacentral:rRNA from 1 species
UUGACCUCGAUCAGUAC